rnacentral:rRNA from 1 species
GACGAACGCUGGCGGCGUGCUUAACACAUGCAAGUCGAACGGAAAGGCCCUGCUUUUGUGGUGUGCUCGAGUGGCGAACGGGUGAGUAACACGUGAGUAACCUGCCCUUGACUUUGGGAUAACUUCAGGAAACUGGGGCUAAUACCGGAUAGGAGCUCCUGCUGCAUGGUGGGGGUUGGAAAGUUUCGGCGGUUGGGGAUGGACUCGCGGCUUAUCAGCUUGUUGGUGGGGUAGUGGCUUACCAAGGCUUUGACGGGUAGCCGGCCUGAGAGGGUGACCGGCCACAUUGGGACUGAGAUACGGCCCAGACUCCUACGGGAGGCAGCAGUGGGGAAUAGUGCACAAUGGGCGGAAGCCUGAUGCAGCAACGCCGCGUGCGGGAUGACGGCCUUCGGGUUGUAAACCGCUUUCGCCUGGGACGAAGCGUGAGUGACGGUAAUGGGUAAAGAAGCACCGGCUAACUACGUG